AUUUAAGAUAGUAAGUUCUUCAAUAAAAUGUGUUUGUUACUAUAGCUAUUAAAAAUAGUAAGUUCUUAUUGAGGUCUAGGAUGUGAAUUAUGUAAAAAACUCUUUUUUUUCCCUCAAAAGUUAUUUUUAAUAAUUUGUUCUGGAAAACCAAGUUUUGGAAGUUGGAAAAUAAACAAGUAGUGAUGUACUUAGAAAAUCUGAGAAAAUGAAAACCAAAAAGAGCAACUGAGAAAACGCAGAUACAAUUGGACUUAUUCUCUAGAUUCUUGUAAAGCUUGAGACUUGACGAGGCCAGGCACUGCUGAGCCAGGGGUUAGAGGUAGGGCCACCAAAGGAGUAUACAGGGAAGUAUUUCAGAAGCACUUAGAGGUUAGGGAUGUGGCUCUGUCGGAGGAGUGCAUGCCUCCUAGACACAAAGCCCCAUGUUUGAUCCUCCCUCGACAAGUGUUGGAGUGCACAUCUGUAAUUCUACACCAGGAGUCAAACGCAGGAGAAUCAGAAGAAGUUCAAGGCCACCCUUGGCUACAUUUAGGAGCAGAUACACCAGACACUGUUUCAAACAACAGCAAAGAAGUGCUCAAUGCCUACACACUCCCCUGCCGACCCUAUCCUGUUCACUCACACCCCUCCCAUGAGCUGCUGAGCCUUUCAGAGAACGGGAAGCAGUAUUGUUGAAGCAGAGCAGAAGGCACAAAGGAUGAUUGUAUACUUCACUGAAAAUAGAAUGAAUUAAGACAGAAAGGCUCACGAAGAAGCAUUAGAUGUUACUGUGCACUGGGUUUUAGACAUUAGGCAGUAUUUUCCAAGCUGAGGUUGGGGACAUAUACCUGUAAUCCCAGCAUGUGAGACUGAAACACAAAGAUGGGGCUAGCCUGGGCUACGCAAUGAGCCUCAUUUAAUCAGCCAUUCAACAAGCAAUCAAAGAAAUGAUGGAGGCUUUCUUUAAAUCAUAGUUCACAUAUUUUAAAUACAGUAGAGUACAUAGUGAAUUGCUCACACCCAGGCUUAAUAAGGAGCUUAUUAUUAUAGUAAAAUAUAACCGUAUCUGCCAAAUCUGAAACUUCAGAGAGAGAUGGCUGUAAUUAGAUAAUUUAGGCUGUGUGAUUAAAGCUUGGGAGGUAUGCCCUAACGCUGCACAUUCACUCUUUAGAAUUAAUACCGUUCUCCAAAUACCGUUCUCCAAACAAUUCAAAGUUUUUAAUAGAUAACCAACAAGAAUUAAAAAAUGGAAAUGAAUGUCUUAUGAAAAUUAUUUUUAAAUGUGUAAGGUGAGACAUAAAAAUAUCAAUGGUAAAAAUGAAAGGGGUUUUUACAAGCAUUUUCUUGAACACUUUAUUAGUCUUAUGUGUGGGGGUAAUUUGCCUGCAUGCAUGUCUGUGUGCCAUGGAUAUAAAGUACCCAUGGAUGCCAGAAAAGGGGCUGGGUUUCCUAGAACUAGAGUCACCGAUGGCGAAUCACCGCGUGACUCCUGGCGAUCAACCUGAGUCCUCUGUAAGAGCAGCCAAUACUCUCAAAUACGAGCAUGCCUCCAGUCCCAAGAAUUUUUUUAAAGC
rnacentral:lncRNA from 1 species